GAUAAACGCUGGCGGCGUGCUUAACACAUGCAAGUCGAACGAUGAAGCUCAGCUUGCUGGGUGGAUUAGUGGCGAACGGGUGAGUAACACGUGAGUAACCUGCCCUUAACUCUGGGAUAAGCCUGGGAAACUAGGUCUAAUACCGGAUAGGAGCGCCUACCGCAUGGUGGGUGUUGGAAAGAUUUAUCGGUUUUGGAUGGACUCGCGGCCUAUCAGCUUGUUGGUGAGGUAAUGGCUCACCAAGGCGACGACGGGUAGCCGGCCUGAGAGGGGGACCGGCCACACUGGGACUGAGACACGGCCCAGACUCCUACGGGAGGCAGCAGUGGGGAAUAUUGCACAAUGGGCGAAAGCCUGAUGCAGCGACGCCGCGUGAGGGAUGACGGCCUUCGGGUUGUAAACCUCUUUCAGUAGGGAAGAAGCGAAAGUGACGGUACCUGCAGAAGAAGCACCGGCUAACUACGUG
rnacentral:rRNA from 1 species